rnacentral:snRNA from 1 species
UUACCACUCUGGCCCUAUGGCUUAGAUCAAGUGUAGUAUCUGUUCUUUUAGUCUUAAUCGACUAAACGCUGUCACCGACAGUUGCAUCGAUCAUUCAGUUUUUGUCGCCUGGGUGGCCUACUCCUCUGCUUGCACGAGUGGCCACGAGAUGACCUUGCUGUUACAGUAUUUAUAAGCUGGUGUCGUCGCGGGUC